GUUAGGUUCCUGGGUCAAGAAGCUUCACCUUUCUGAGAAUGGGAAGAACAAGGGGAAAAAUUAGAAAGAACAAUGCCAACAUCCAAGAUUUAGUGGUAGGAGUAGAAAGAUCCAACAACAGCAUUACUCAAACAGGUCCAUAAAAUCCAAGAAUGAAGGGGAAAAAAGGGGGAGAGAAAGAAGUUUGUUGGACAGGUAUGGGUCUGUCUCCUAGUAUAUAUGUCUUAUCAUGCAGUCCUAUCUGCAGGGGAAAAAAAAAAACACAAAAAAAUUGACCUGUGUGCUUUGGAGAAUACACUGAAAUUGAAAAUAUACCAAGAGCAGCCUUGUUCUGUGAAAAAGAGGAUACUCAUUUAAUUCUUCACAAGUAGGUGCAAUAAAUGGUUGCCAGUGUUGUGGCAGAAUUUAACUGAAGAUGCAGGGACACAAAGGAGGCUAUGAAAAUUUAAUAUCUCCCUGGGCCAGAAUAGACUCUAAGUAGAGGUGAAACUUGAACUGCGUGGUCAAAGGUGAGUAGAUGUGGUAUGGGUGGACACUGUAGAGAAGGGCAGGUGAGAGUGAGCACCUCCAUGGUGGCUCGGGAUAAAUAACAGGGCAUCAGGGGCAAAUAGUGCAAAAGGCAUCUGCAGGGGAGUGGCAGCCAAUGAGGCCCCGGAGGACCACAGCAGGGGUGUGAUCACAGAGGCAUGUGUCCCUUACCCCUGCACGGAAACAUUGUUUACUAAACGAUGGGGAAAUACAGAAGAAGAGAAACGGCAUGGCCACAUGUGCAGGAACAUCAGAAAAUGAACUUGGUGCUCAAACUGCAAGUGGAAGCAAGCCAAAUUGGAAGAAAUGAGACCAGAUGGAGAACUCCACAGUUACACUUGAAGUGAAAGCCAAGCUGUGGGGAGGAAGAUGCAGGAAAGAGAGAUGGACCUCGGAGAUGACAAGGAGGAAGUCACACCAAGAUCUGGUCACCAGCUGGAGGUGGGAGGCGAGGAGAGAAUGAGAAGCGUGAUAUUUGGGUUUUGACUUUCCAUUCCUGGGCUGAUGGUGGUGCAUUCCAGUAAAGGAACAGAGGAGGAGAAGGUAUGAAUGGGAAAGACAAAUCCAGCUCAUUUAACUGAAUUUGUUUGAGAUGACUGAGGGCAUGUGCCGUGGUGCAAUGUGGAGGGUAGGUGAAUACACUGGUCUGCAGCUCAAGAGAGUGAAGGUAGAAGAUACGGAUUUGGAGCACACAGGGGAGAGCCGAAGUCAUGGCAGGAAAGCUCGCCCCAGGGCAUGUGCCCAGAGUGCUCAGGGGGCUGACCGCAGCCUCUGGGGGAGAGUAUUGCGGGUUCACCAUGAAAUUAACUAAGCCUAAGCUUCUGGGCCCUUCACCUGCAUAAUCCUCUUCUAAAGAAAUACUCUUUGUACUGAAUUGUUAUAAUUUUGUUUCCUUAAAGAGAGGCUUAAAUGUAGGCGUUGUGUAAACAUCAGGUUCCAUAAAACCUAGACCCCCGCUGUGAGGAUGGACCCGGAGUGGGGGAGGAGCCCACAGGAUAGACCAGUCAGGAGUGGAAGACCAAGAUAAGAAUGCUAUAUCUGAAGCUAAGAGAGGAUGAGGUUUGAAGAGGAGGCUAUGGUUAACAGUCCCCAAGGAACCCAAGUCAGUGGGGCUUGAAAGAGCCCUUUGGUCUUUCUCGACAGUUUGGAACAUGCUUGAAGACAAGGGCUUGCUCUCUUCUCUGAGUGGACGGCUGGAGGAGAAGGUGUGCGGCCAGGCACAUGGGAUGUCACAGGAAGUUGUACCUGGCUACCUUUAUUUCUUUUCAAAGCAAAAAAAAAUCAUAAAAAUAAAAUAAGGGCAUCUGCUAGAGGAAGGGACGUGGCGGAAGGAGCUUGGGGAGGUGGUGAAGGUUUAGGGUGCCCUUGGAAUGCAUCAGGAGAGGAACUGACCAGAGCCUCUUACAGAGGGGUGGGAAAUUUGGGGGGACUUCCGGCCUCAGUGUUUGGCUGCGAAUGGGAUCGGAUUCGAUAACCAGUAAGCUCUCCUCCAUCUCUUUCACUUUGAACGUGAGGGAUACGGAGCCUUAGAGCAGUUGUCACACUUGUUUGCUCAGUGGACUCGCUGGGUAAGUUCCACACCCAGAGACCGUGACUGCAUUGGUCUGGGCUGAGGUCUAGGCAUUGACAGUGUUUGGAUUCCAAGGUGGUUCUGGUGUACAGCCAAGACUUAAAAUCAUUGCUUUAGUAAGAUUACCUGAGGAUAUUAUAUACUGAAAAUAUAAUAACUGACAAGGUAAGUUCUUCUAUGCUUAAUGUUCAGCCUAAGGAGGUGAAACGUUGCUGUCUAUGCCAGGAGUCCCGAUUCCUAGAUCUGUCUGGUUUUGUUAUUUCCCUUUGGACAUGUGUUUGCAUUAGAAUCCAAGAGGUAGGACAUACCAUUGAUAUCUUAAUAGCUAACUUGUAUCCCUCUCUGUGGCAAACACAUGCAUUAUCAAGUUUCACUCUUCAAAUAAUCCUAUGAAGUAAAGAUUCACAUAUUCCCCAUUUUACAGAUCAGAAAACUGAGCCACAGAAGGAUGAAAUAAUUUUCCCAUGGCCACCUAGCUAGUAGCCCCAGAUGGUAAGCCAUCUGGGCACAUUCAAAACUUCUAGACCGUUAUCUUUCAUUUAACCUAAGUAGGGCUGACCCCACCACUCACUAGAAACCUCUUUCAGCUAUCUUGUCCCUGCCUUUUCAAAACUUCAGAGUCCCACCCCACCCCAUGUCUCUUUCCAAUGUGUUCACUGUUUUGCUUACCUUGCUGAUUCCAUGGAAUCAUGGCAUUUGCAUUACUAUCUGCUGUACUCAAAACUGAUGCUAUUUUUCUAUUGUUUUAGAUGGAUCCAAAAUGUUCCUUAAACUUGGUCAGUUUAUAUGUAGCCACUCAGAGAGGAAGGAACCUUCUACUUUCCUUCAAGGUCAGGAGGAUGUUCACCACUUCUGCAAUAGAUCAUUGCUUCUGGCAAUGAAGUAAACACUUCAUAGGGUCUGUCUCAUAAUACUCCCUGAAAAAACUGCUGUUCAGCUCCACCUUAACAGUCAGAGGAAAGUUAGCCUUCAUAUGUUUUCUUCAAUUAAUUUCUUUGGUUGCGUACAUGAAUUUGCGCAUUUGAAAGGAAAAAGUGUAUUAAAAGCCAAAAUUUGCAUGUGAACACAGUGCACAGGAAUUAAAAAUAAAAACAACCGAAGGAA